rnacentral:tRNA from 1 species
AAGGUUCUAGUAAAUAAAUUAUAUAGCCCUGUCAGCGCUAAGUUACAAGCAAAAGCCUGUGAAUCUUA